rnacentral:rRNA from 1 species
GGCACUACGGUGCUGAAGCAACAAAUGCCCUGCUUCCAGGAAAAGCCUCUAAGCAUCAGGUAACAUCAAAUCGUACCCCAAACCGACACAGGUGGUCAGGUAGAGAAUACCAAGGCGCUUGAGAGAACUCGGGUGAAGGAACUAGGCAAAAUGGUGCCGUAACUUCGGGAGAAGGCACGCUGAUAUGUAGGUGAAGUCCCUCGCGGAUGGAGCUGAAAUCAGUCGAAGAUACCAGCUGGCUGCAACUGUUUAUUAAAAACACAGCACUGUGCAAACACGAAAGUGGACGUAUACGGUGUGACGCCUGCCCGGUGCCGGAAGGUUAAUUGAUGGGGUUAGCGCAAGCGAAGCUCUUGAUCGAAGCCCCGGUAAACGGCGGCCGUAA